UACGGGGGGGGCAAGCGUUGUUCGGAAGUUACUGGGCGUAAAGGGCUCGUAGGCGGCCAAUCUUGAAGUCGGGAUGGUGAAAUCCCCAGGCCUCAACUUGGGGAACUGACAUCCGGAUACUGGGGGGCUUGAAUCCGGGAGAGGGAUGUGGAAUUCCAGGUGUAGCGGUGAAAUGCGUAGAUAUCUGGAGGAACACCGGUGGCGAAGGCGGCAUCCUGGACCGGUAUUGACGCUGAGGCGCGAAAGCCAGGGGAGCAAACGGG
rnacentral:rRNA from 1 species